UACGUAGGGGGCUAGCGUUGUCCGGAUUUAUUGGGCGUAAAGAGCGUGUAGGCGGCCAAGUAGGUCCGUUGUGAAAACUGGAGGCUUAACCUCCAGCUGUCGAUGGAAACCAUUUGGCUAGAGUCCGGAAGAGGAGAGUGGAAUUCCUGGUGUAGCGGUGAAAUUCGUAGAUAUUCGCAAGAACACCAGUGGCGAAGGCGGCUCACUGGCUCGGUACUGACGCUGAGGUGCGAAAGCGUGGGGAGCAAACAGG
rnacentral:rRNA from 1 species